rnacentral:lncRNA from 10 species
GGCCUUUGCCGGCCUGUGGGCCACCAGCUGGGGGCUCCCCGCUUCCAUCCACCUACCACACCCACAUUCCUGACCCCUCCCGCCGUCUGUUGCUGUGGAACAGACUCACAGAGCCGCACCCACUUCCCAAGACCCAGCCCCAUCCCUCCCUCUCACGCCUGAGCCCCGCCUGGCCAAUCCAAGCCCGCCCAGCUCUAGCUCAGGCCACGUCCGCAGAAUUUGGUCUGAGUCCCAGCCAAUCCCUAAAAUAACGGUGGUUGAAAGGGCAUUCCGUGACUGCGGGCACUAUCCUCUUCUCGCCCCUCACCAGGCCUCACCUACUUUACAGCGUUUUGCAGUUCGCACGCAGCUUUCCCUCCCCUUACCUUCCCACGCCUGCCUUUCCCCCCAGACUCUGGCUGCGGAGGAGGAGGGUGAAGUCCCAGCCAGCGCUUUCCAGAAGGCACCAGAGCCCUUGGGCCCGGCGGACCAGUCCGAGCUGGGCCCAGAGCAGCUGGAGGCCGAAGUUGGAGAGAGCUCGGACGAGGAGCCGGUGGAGUCCAGGGCCCAGCGGCUGCGGCGCACCGGAUUGCAGAAGGUACAGAGCCUCCGAAGGGCCCUUUCGGGCCGGAAAGGCCCUGCAGCGCCACCGCCCACCCCGGUCAAGCCGCCUCGCCUUGGGCCUGGCCGGAGCGCUGAAGCCCAGCCGGAAGCCCAGCCUGCGCUGGAGCCCACGCUGGAGCCAGAGCCUCCGCAGGACACCGAGGAAGAUCCCGGGAGACCUGGGGCUGCCGAAGAAGCUCUGCUCCAAAUGGAGAGUGUAGCCUGAGGGCUGGUGUUGCCUGCCUCCCCUGUGCUUGUGCCUUGUCCCAAAAUAAAUCCUUUCAGAAUGUAGCACUCACGCCCUAAUAAGGAGCGAAUCCUACAUCCACCAAGGCGGGCGCUCUGGCCCUCCCUUCCUUAAGCCCAGUCCUGUGUCCUCUGAAAGAGGUGCAGUCACUCACACCUGCUUGCGCUCACCAUCAAUAAAAGUAAUUUCACCCGAA